rnacentral:Y_RNA from 1 species
GGCUGGUCCAAGUGCAGUGGUGUUUACAACUAAUUGAUCACAACCAGUUACAGAUUCUUUUGUUCCUUUUCCACUCCCACUGCUUCACUUGACUAGCCUAAA